UCCUUCCUUAAUUCAUCUUUUUCUCUCUCAUGUGAAAAUGAGUAGCAGAGAUAAAAAUUCACAUCCCAAUCACAACAUAAAUAACUCAUAUACUAUCUUCUUUUUCAAUUAACAGAACCUCUUACACCAUGAACAUACUUCAUGUUCUCCGUUACUUCUAUAUAUCAUAAAGACCACAUACUUCACUAUUUAUCUUCUUCUAUAUCAAUCAUAUAUAAACUCCAUCACAGUGAGACAACCAACAACAACCAACAACCUUGCACAUUCAUUAAGACUACCAUAGCAUCACCAUUCAUGUUCAAACCAUCAACAACAAUUCCAUAACCUUUAUUUAUUUAUUUUUACAAUAAGAACUCUCAUCAUCACUAUCAAAACCAUUACUAUCAACACCAACUACACCAUAAACCAAAAAUUACAACCAUUAAAAUCUCUUUUCUAUUUUUUUCAACACAAGAGGCUAUGACAGCUCUCACAUAAAUCCAACAAACCUCACUCCUAUCAUUGACACAUAUCUUAAAGCUCUAAAAAAAACUUAUCAAAAAGAAAAAUAUGCAAUGAAAGAUUUAUCUCUCUCACCACACAGAGCCAAAACACUUCUUCAUUAACCUUAGUCACGCCGGAAACUGGCCGCGUGUUCCCACCAAUUUCACCGCCAUUUCCGCCGGCAACGCCGCUUCGGGAGCACCUCACCACCACCAUUUUCAUUAUCGAAUCAAGCCUAUAAAUAGUCUUUGGUCCCCAAAGCUUUCUCUCAUCAGAAAAGAAAUACACCAUCUAUAUUGAGAGAGUAAGAGCUUGGAAGAAUCAAAGACAGUGCACUCACAACACUGCAACAAUGGUUGGAGGUAUCCAUUUUGAAGCAAAAGUGAAAAAGGGAAGAAAAGGAGGUGUAGAAAGGAGUAAAAAGGAAACAAAUAUCAAAGACCAAGCCCAGCCCAAAAGAAAGCGCACGUUGUGCCUGUGACGGGCGUCACAAGGGUUGUGACGAGCGUCACACUAGAAGCAUCCCUGUGACGAGCGUCACACAUGGUGUGACGAGCGUCACACCAUUCCACUAGCUUUUUGGCGCAAGUCACGCUCUCAGAAGAAUUGAAGAAGAACGUUGAGAGAGUUCGUGUCCUAUGCCCACGCCGUGUAUUUAGCCAUGCUGAAGACUCGUGGGAAACGGAAGGCAGUUACCAAGGCUAUUAUAAAUAGCCAUCUCACAAACCUAAAAAAGUCUCAGUUUUUGCACGCUCAGUUUGCCGAAGCUCUGCCAAAUUUUCUUUUCACGCCUUUGCUUAUUUUUCUUCCUUUCCAGCAACUUAGCAUUGUUUAUUUUAUUUAUUUCUUUUGCAAGAUUUACAUUCUUUUUCCCUUGCAAAUUUACCUUUCCAGUUUUAGCUUUUAGAUAUUUUUCGCAUAAUAGUUUCUACACCGGAAACUAUUGUGCAACUUUAUACCGGAUUUAACCUUACGUUAUAUUCCAGUUUUAUUUCCUUGAUUUAAUUUACUGUCUAAUUGAAGAAUCCAAGAACAAAUCCUACCGGCUUGUGGUGGAGUGUUCAAGACCAUUGUAUUACGCAUU